rnacentral:piRNA from 1 species
UACUGUGUACCCUCUUUCCACUGGUGGCU